rnacentral:piRNA from 1 species
UCUAAUUGAAACAUUUAUAAA